AUUGAACGCUGGCGGCAGGCUUAACACAUGCAAGUCGAGCGGGGGAGGUUGCUUCGGUAACUGACCUAGCGGCGGACGGGUGAGUAAUACUUAGGAAUCUGCCUAUUAAUGGGGGACAACAUCUCGAAAGGGAUGCUAAUACCGCAUACGCCCUACGGGGGAAAGCAGGGGAUCACUUGUGACCUUGCGUUAAUAGAUGAGCCUAAGUCGGAUUAGCUAGUUGGUGGGGUAAAGGCCUACCAAGGCGACGAUCUGUAGCGGGUCUGAGAGGAUGAUCCGCCACACUGGGACUGAGACACGGCCCAGACCCCUACGGGAGGCAGCAGUGGGGAAUAUUGGACAAUGGGGGGAACCCUGAUCCAGCCAUGCCGCGUGUGUGAAGAAGGCCUUAUGGUUGUAAAGCACUUUAAGCGAGGAGGAGGCUCUUUUGGUUAAUACCCAAGAUGAGUGGACGUUACUCGCAGAAUAAGCACCGGCUAACUCUGUGCCAGCAGCCGCCGUAACAC
rnacentral:rRNA from 1 species